rnacentral:rRNA from 1 species
CACGUAAGGUGCAAGCGUUGUUCGGAAUUAUUGGGCGUAAAGGGCAUGUAGGCGGUCUUGCAAGCUUGGUGUGAAAGCCCGGAGCUCAACUCCGGAACUGCAUUGAGAACUACAGGGCUAGAAUUACUGAGGGGGAACCGGAAUUCCAGGUGUAGGGGUGAAAUCUGUAGAUAUCUGGAAGAACACCAAUGGCGAAGGCAGGUUUCUAGCAGAUAAUUGACGCUGAGGUGCGAAGGUGCGGGGAG